GUAGGUGGCAAGCGUUGUCCGGAAUUAUUGGGCGUAAAGCGCGCGCAGGCGGUUCUUUAAGUCUGAUGUGAAAGCCCACGGGCUCAACCGUGGAGGGUCAUUGGAAACUGGAGAACUUGAGUACAGAAGAGGAAAGCGGAAUUCCACGUGUAGCGGUGAAAUGCGUAGAGAUGUGGAGGAACACCAGUGGCGAAGGCGGCUUUCUGGUCUGUAACUGACGCUGAGGCGCGAAAGCGUGGGGAGCAAACAGGAUUAGAUACCCUGGUAGUCAACGCCGUAAACGAUGAGUGCUAAGUGUUAGGGGGUUUCCGCCCCUUAGUGCUGCAGCUAACGCAUUAAGCACUCCGCCUGGGGAGUACGGCCGCAAGGCUA
rnacentral:rRNA from 1 species